UAAAAUGUAAAGUCUAUACAGUCAAAUCUCUAUUUAUGAGCUUCCAUUUGCCUUUAGAGCUCGUUGGGAUGAAUGGUUUCUCCAUGGGCUUUCAGACACUACAGCUGGAAGGGCCUGGAAUAUUGGCCUGUUAUGUAGCACUAAAGUCCAGCAUUUGCUACCAAUGUCAAGCACCAAUAGAACAGGCAUUGGAAUUGAUACAAGUCUGGGAUCAGAAUCAGUGAUGUCAUGCAUACAGUAUUGCAGAGAGACUAAAUGUAUGAGAAGUGGUUUUGUUUCUCAUCAUCAGACCCACCAGACCUUACUAAUGAACACAGAUUACACUGAUGUUGAUGUCACCCCUCCAAAUCAUGCCUAAAAUAAAGCGGCUAGUGAUGUCUGGGUCUAUGGACAACAACGACGUCUCUCUCCGCGUUGAGAGCCACUGUAAGCAGGAGGAGAUGUGGCAUCCUGCACAUGUUCAGUGCAAGGUGCAAUUGAAACAUCAUCGGUAGUAAUGGGGGAGAUAAAUAUUCAUAAGGCUGGGGGAAAAUCACAGAUUAUACUGAUAAGGGCCUCAUUGUGAGCCUCUCUUUCUCUCCCUAAACCAGGCUCUGCAUAAUAUUUCUGGUUUAAUACCUCCAGCUUCCUCUGAUAACUUCAUCAAGGGGGGUGUUUGCCACUUAUUUCAUUGAUACUUCAUCCAUAACAAGCGGAACCCUAGUAAAUCUCGUUUAAACAAACAAAGCCCUGUAUUGAUUUAUAGGGUCCUCCAUGAUGGGAUUAUUGGCAUCGCAGACACCUUGCCUCGCAGCCAUAGCGCACCCAGCCGUACAAUAUGCACAAAACAUGAAUAAAUAAUACAUUAAGGUUGUUGUGGAUGUGAUUACAAUGGUGCUAGGAAAGAGAGAGAUAUACAGAGAGAUAAUGAGGGAAAGAUAGGUGGAGUAGGGGGGUACUAGGUAGCGUUCAGAAUUGACACCACUCCAGGAGUUAGACAGGAAGAGGGUCAGAGAGAUAAAGAGAGAGUGAGAGAGAGAGAGAGAGACAGAGGGAGAGGGAGAGUGAGAGGUGGAGAGCAUGCCUGGACAGAGAGAGAGAGAGGUAGAGAUCAUUCCUAGAGAGAGAGAGAGAGAGAGAGAUGUAGAGAGCAUGCCUGGACAGAAAGAGAGAGAGAGAGAGAGAGAGAGCAUGCCUGGACAGAAAGAGAGAGAUAGAGAGAGAGAGAGAGAGAGAGAGAGAGAGAGAGGGGUAGAGAGCAUGCCUGGACAAAAAGAGAGAGAGAGUUAGAGAGCAUGCCUGGACAGAAAGAGAGAGAGAGAUGUAGAGAGCAUGCCUGGACAGAAAGAGAGAGAGAGGUAGAGAGCAUGCCUGGACAGAAAGAGAGAGAGAGAGAGAGAGAGAGAGAGAGAGAGAGAGAGAGAGAGAGAGAGAGAGAGAGAGAGAGAGCAUGCCUGGACAGAAAGAGAGAGAGAGAGAGAGAGAGAGAGAGAGAGAGAGAGAGAGAGAGAGAGAGAGAGAGAGAGAGAGAGAGAGAGGUAGAGAGCAUGCCUGGACAGAAAGAGAGAGAGAGAGAGAGAGAGAGGUAGAGAGCAUGCCUGGACAGAAAGAGAGAGAGGUAGAGAGCAUGCCUGGACAGAAAGCGAGAGAGAGGUAGAGAGCAUGCCUGGACAGAAAGAGAGAGAGAGGUAGAGAGCAUGCCUGGACAGAAAGAGAGAGAGAGAGAGAGAGAGAGAGAGAGAGAGAGAGAGAGAGAGAGAGAGAGAGAGAGAGAGAGAGAGAGAGGUAGAGAGCAUGCCUGGACAGAAAGAGAGAGAGAGAGAGAGAGAGAGAGAGAGAGAGAGAGAGAGAGAGAGAGGUAUCGAGCAUGCCAGGACAGAAAGAGAGAGAGAGGUAGAGAGCAUGCCUGGACAGAAAGAGAGAGAGAGGUAGAGAGCAUGCCUGGACACAGAGAGCGAGAGAGAAAGAGGUAGAGAGAGAGGUAGAGAGCAGUUCUGGACAGAAAGAGAGAGAGUGAGAGGUAGAGAGCAUGCCUGGACAGAAAGAGAGAGAGAGGUAGAGAGCAUGCCUGGACAGAAAGAGAGCGAGAGAGAGAGAGGUAGAGAGCAGGCCUGGACAGAAAGAGAGCGAGAGAGAAAGCGAGAGAGAGAGGUAGAGAGCAGGCCUGGACAGAGAGAGCGAGAGAGAAAGAGGUAGAGAGAGAGGUAGAGAGCAGGCCUGGACAGAGAGAGCGAGAGAGAAAGAGGUAGAGAGAGAGGUAGAGAGCAGGCCUGGACAGAAAGAGCGAGAGAGAAAGAGGUAGAGAGAGAGGUAGAGAGCAGGCCUGGACAGAGAGAGCGAGAGAGAAAGAGGUAGAGAGAGAGGUAGAGAGCAGGCCUGCACAGAAAGAGCAAGAGAGAAAGAGGUAGAGAGCAGGCCUGGACAGAGAGAGCGAGAGAGAGAGAAAGAGGUAGAGAGAGAGGUAGAGAGCAGGCCUGGACAGAGAGAGUGAGAGAGAAAGAGGUAGAGAGAGAGGUAGAGAGCAGGCCUGGAUAGAGAGAGUGAGAGAGAAAGAGGUAGAGAGAGAGGUAGAGAGCAGGCCUGGACAGAGAGAGCGAGAGAGAAAGAGGUAGAGAGAGAGGUAGAGAGUAGGCCUGGACAGGGAGAGUGAGAGAGAAAGAGGUAGAGAGCAGGCCUGGACAGAGAGAGAAUAACUGUCUUAGGUUCACUGGGUUUAGAUGGACAGGUAAAGAAGGAGCUCCUGUAUGUCUCCUGUUCGCUCUGACUCCCUAACACAACAGCCCCAGGGACUCUCUGUCACACCUGGUCAUCUUUACCCUCCACACAUACACAUACACACGCAGCACCCUCCAAUGCACCACUGUUAGCCUGUGUAACACUCCCUUCCACAUACUGUAGCAACAACUGCAGCAACAACUGCAGGUUGUUUAGUCGUCUGGGGACAGUCCUCCCUC